AACAUCAAAAUAAGUAAGUCGUAGUAGAAGUGAUUAGAUUAAAUG
rnacentral:guide_RNA from 1 species